rnacentral:tRNA from 2 species
GGGGCGUUAGCUCAGCCGGUUAGAGCAGGGGACUCAUAAUCCCUUGGUCGUGGGUUCAAGUCCCACACGCCCUACC